rnacentral:rRNA from 1 species
GAUGAACGCUGGCGGCGUGCCUAAUACAUGCAAGUCGAGCGAACGGACGAGAAGCUUGCUUCUCUGAUGUUAGCGGCGGACGGGUGAGUAACACGUGGAUAACCUACCUAUAAGACUGGGAUAACUUCGGGAAACCGGAGCUAAUACCGGAUGAUAUUUUGAACCGCAUGGUUCAAAAGUGAAAGACGGUCUUGCUGUCACUUAUAGAUGGAUCCGCGCUGCAUUAGCUAGUUGGUAAGGUAACGGCUUACCAAGGCAACGAUGCAUAGCCGACCUGAGAGGGUGAUCGGCCACACUGGAACUGAGACACGGUCCAGACUCCUACGGGAGGCAGCUGUAGGGAAUCUUCCGCAAUGGGCGAAAGCCUGACGGAGCAACGCCGCGUGAGUGAUGAAGGUCUUCGGAUCGUAAAACUCUGCUAUUAGGGAAGAACAUAUGUGUAAGUAACUGUGCACAUCUUGACGGUACCUAAUCAGAAAGCCACGGCUAACUACGUG